rnacentral:lncRNA from 1 species
CCCCGCCGUCAGCAGACUCAAGCAAGGAGAAUGUGGAGAAGGGUGCGGGCGGGCCUCGUCCUCUGUGGCCCCGCGGUGACUCCAAACACCCACUCCCACCAGGUCCCCAGUUCUGUGCUUCCCGCGCCUACGAGAGCAGCCGCGCAGAUGAGCUGUCCGUGCCCGCGGGGGCGCGCGUGCGCGUGUUGGAAACGUCAGACCGCGGCUGGUGGCUAUGCAGGUACGGCGACCGGGCGGGCCUACUCCCCGCGGUGCUGCUGCGGCCGGAAGGGCUGGGCGCUCUCCUGAGCGGGACGGGGUUCCGUGGAGGAGACGACCCGGCGGGUGAGGCCCGGGGCUUCCCUGAACCCUCCCAGGCCACCGCCCCUCCCCCCACCGUGCCCACCCGACCUUCGCCGGGCGCCAUCCAGAGCCGCUGCUGCACCGUCACACGCAGGGCCCUGGAGCGGCGCCCACGGCGCCAGGGCCGCCCUCGAGGGUGCGUGGACUCUGUGCCGCACCCCACGACGGAGCAGUGAGCGCGAGGAUCCCGAUGAGGGGAUGGACCGCGCCAUCCCAGGGCUGGGGAGGAGCGGGGAGGGCGGAUCUCCCUGGCCAGCAGGGAUGGGAGGGGGCCAUUUGCUGUUCCUCUGAGUAAAGCUUGUUCUGCAUGA